rnacentral:lncRNA from 1 species
AGUAGACUUCUCCAGAAGUCUGGUGCGAGCAGAUUUUUCCAGAAGUCUGCUAAUGAAGUUCGACGUCUGAUAUUGUCUUCAGAUCAGAAAAAUAUGCAUAUCCAAAACGUUAAAAUAGAUUCAAAAGAGAGAAAAACUUUAGAAAUAAAACCUUUUAUGUUUAAAUAAUAAAUAAUACUAUCACAUUAGGUUGAAUCUAUAGCCUUUUUGAAUCUAACAUAUAGAACACACAAAAAUACAUAUCCAAAAUUUAUAGAUCUACCAAGAAAUGAAAAACCUACAAAAAAAAUAUAAAGUAGCGAGAAAUACAUGAUACAAAAAGAUGAAAAAUUCAUAAAAUUUUGUGUCUUCAAGUUCAAAGAGAUUAGAGAGAGUUUGGAAAGUAUUAAAGUGAGAAACUUUACAUUUUUGUUUCAGCCAUCUGAGAGGAAUAGAUUGAAUG